rnacentral:rRNA from 1 species
UACGGGGGGGGCAAGCGUUGUUCGGAAUUACUGGGCGUAAAGGGCGCGUAGGCGGCUCAAUCAGUCGGGCGUGAAAGCUCUGGGCUUAACCCAGAAAGGUCGUUCGAUACUGUUGGGCUAGAGUGUGGAAGAGGCUACUGGAAUUCCGUGUGUAGCGGUGAAAUGCGUAGAUAUACGGAGGAACACCUGCGGCGAAGGCGGCACUCUGGGACGGUACUGACGCUGAGACGCGAAAGCGUGGGGAGCGAACAGG